UACGGGGGGGGCAAGCGUUGUUCGGAAUUACUGGGCGUAAAGGGCUCGUAGGCGGCCAACUAAGUCAGACGUGAAAUCCCUCGGCUUAACCGGGGAACUGCGUCUGAUACUGGAUGGCUUGAGGUUGGGAGAGGGAUGCGGAAUUCCAGGUGUAGCGGUGAAAUGCGUAGAUAUCUGGAGGAACACCGGUGGCGAAGGCGGCAUCCUGGACCAAUUCUGACGCUGAGGAGCGAAAGCUAGGGGAGCAAACGGGG
rnacentral:rRNA from 1 species